ensembl:snRNA U4 U4 spliceosomal RNA
AUCUUUGCGCAGUGGCAGUAUCGUAGCCUAUGAGGUUUAUCCGAGGCGCGAUUAUUGCUAGUUGAAAACUUUACCCAAUACCCCGCCUUGACGACUUGAAAUAUAGUCGACAAUGGCAAUUUUUGACGGUCUCUAAGGAGA